rnacentral:lncRNA from 1 species
GCUCCGGUAGAUUGCAAAUGACCUGCUUUCUUUCUGUUCCCGGGCGGCAUCGGACCCGUCGGAGAGUAAAUCCCAAGUAAGGUACCUGCCGUUGGCAGAUUUGAGCUUUCUUCUUGGACACCUAAUACCCACAGUCCUCCAGGCUCCGGUAGAUUGCAAAUGACCUGCUUUCUUUCUGUUCCCGGGUGGCAUCGACCCGUCGGAGAGUAAAUCCCAAGUAAGGUACCUGCCGUUGGCAGAUUUGAGCUUUCUUCUUGGACACCUAAUACCCACAGUCCUCCAGGGCUGCGUUCGGACCCCUGUCGGAUAGUAAAUCCCAAGCAAGGUACCUGCCGUCAGCAGAUUUGAGCUUUCUUCUUGGACACCUAAUACCCACAGUCCUCCAGGCUCCGGUAGAUUGCAAAUGACCUGCUUUCUUUCUGUUCCCGGGCUGCGUUCGGACCCCUGUCGGAUAGUAACUCCCAAGUAAGGUACCUGCCGUCGGCAGAUUGGAGCUUUCUUCUUGGAGACCUAAUACCCACAGUCCUCCAGGCUCCGGUAGAUUGCAAAUGACCUGCUUUCUUUCUGUUCCCGGGCUGCGUUCGGACCCCUGUCGGAGAGUAAAUCCGAAAAAAACAAACAAAGACAUGGAUUUACUGUGCAUAUUAGCAGAUCCAUACUGGAAAAUGCAUGGAGGUUUCAUAUACACCACUUACAGAUGCAGAAAGGCAGUGAACUCCUCCGGAGUAGCUGUCAGGUCACCAUUGAGGUCUGCAGCUUUGAAUCUUCUCUCAUCACGUGGCAGCAUCUUUUUAAAGGUGUGAUGAUCUGAAGAAUCA